AAGAUAUUUGUUGGUAGAUAAGUCUACCUUUUUCUGGGUUUUUCAUUAGCUUAAAUAAGAAAACAAAUGGAGUCAUGACUCCUUACAAUACGUGAAUGAGGGAAAGUGGAAGUACUCAACUUCCUACAAAACAGGAAUGCAACAAAGUGGAGAACUAUCUCCUCAAGACUAGGUCUUUUAUUGAAUAAGAAAUAACAAAAUGAAAUACUCCUUCCUUAGUCCACGUAUCUUCUUGUUGGUACCUUUGCUCUAGUUGACUUACGUAGGACCAUCUUGUCAACUCUGUUCUCAACUCCACCGUGUGCUAUCCUAUCAACACUCCCGCUGUCCAAAAGAACCUUGUCCUCAAGGUUCGAGACAAAGAAGGGAAAGCUCGCCACCAGUUGAUCAUAUUCCUCCCAAGUUGCUUCCUCAAUUGGCAUGUUCUUCCACUUAAUCAAUGCUUCCUGAACUUCCUUAGUACCAUGUUGAACUCGGCGCACAGACAAUACUUCCACUGGUUCCAAGUGAAAAAAUCCAUCAGCUCGCAGCGGAGGUAACUCUACCGUCGACGGCUCAUCUUCGCCCAAACGCUUUUUCAACAAUGAAACAUGAAACACAGGAUGUAUCUUGGCUCCCUCUGGUAACUUAAGACGGUAGGCUACCUGACCAAUACGUUUCUCAAUCUGAAAAGGACCAAAGUACCUGUUGGAUAACUUCUGCGAAGAUCGCCUGAAAACUGUUUUCUGCCGGUACGGUUGCAGACGCAAGAACACCCACUCCCCUUCUGUGAACUCAACAUCUCUUCUCUUACGGUCAGCUAUCUGUUUCAUGCGGUUAUUGGCUGAUGCAAGGUGCAACUUCAGGUCUGUGAGUAGCUCGUCACGAGCUUGCAGCUGUUCAUCAAUUUCUUCUACUAAGGAAGAUCCGAGCUCAUACCGUGGCAUCAGCGGCGGUUUGCGACCAUACAAAGCUUCAAAAGGGCUCAUCCCCGUAGAGACAUGGAAGGUGGUAUUGUACCAGUACUCAGCCCAAGGUAAGAAGACACUCCACUGCUUUGGUCGGCUCUGCACAAAGCACCGCAAGUACUGUUCAAUACAGCGAUUGACCACCUCUGUCUGUCCGUCCGAUUGGGGGUGAUAGGCUGUUGAUCGUCGCAGUUUGGUGCCAGACAAUUUCCACAACUCCGACCAAAAAUUGCUGAGAAAUAUGGCAUCGCGAUCACUGAGGAUUGAUCUUGGGAUUCCGUGAAGGCGAACCACCAUGUCCACGAAGUGCUUAGCAACCUGAGAUGCCGUAUAUGGGUGAGUAAGAGGCAAAAGAUGUGCAGACUUACUGAGGCGAUCCACCACAACCAAGAUCGAUGAGUAUCCAUUGGAGCGAGGCAAGCCAUCCACGAAAUCAAGUGAUAUAUCUUCCCAGACUUGAUCAGGCACUGGCAGUGGCUGCAAGAGUCCAGCAGGAGACAUGGUCUGCGUUUUAGCUCGCUGGCAAGUGUCACAGCUUGAUACGUAUUCCAAGACAACCCGAUGCAUCGAUGGCCAGUAGAACUGCCGAGAUAAGCGCUUGAAGGUUCUGAGAAUCCCGGAAUGACCUCCCAUCGUUGUGUUGUGAUGCUCAUAGAUAAGUUGUUUGACGAGAUGAGAUGUUGGUGGAAUGACUAUGCGAUUGUUGUAGCACAACAAUCCAUCUUUCCAAGCGUAUGGCUUUCCUGGAUUUGCUGUUGCUGCCUUUCCAAUACGAAGCAAGUAAGGAUCUGUUUGUGCUAGUUGGCGUAGUUCCUCCCAUAUCGUGACUGAAGGAGCAGAAAGAGAGUUGAGGACAGGGCUAUCUGGUCGUCGUGACAAUGCAAGAGUGUUGAGGACAGGGCUAUCUGGUCGUCGUGACAAUGCAUCUGCUGCAGCGUUAGCUUUUCCCGGCUUGUAAACAAUCUCAUAAUCAUAGCCCACCAGCUUCCCCAUCCAUUUUUGUUGUUCGGGGGUGAGGAUACGUUGCUCCAGGAGAUAACGCAGGCUGCGUUGAUCGGUCUGAAUGAUGAAUCUGCGGCCAAGGAUGUAUGGUCUCCAGGUACGAAUGGCCACAAUGAUAGCUAGCAUUUCCCGAGCAUAGGUUGACCAACUCUUCUUUGCCACACCCAAUGAUCUGCUCAUGAAGGCGAUGGGUUGAUCAUUUUGAGAGAGAAUAGCCCCAAUACCGUCGCCUGACGCAUCGGUCUGAAUGACAAAGGAUUGUGUAAAGUCCGGUAAGGCCAGAGUCGGUGUUGUUGUCAUAGCUGCCUUAAGUGCACAAAAAGCUUGCUCCGCUUCAGAAUCCCAAGUAAAUUGGCCUCUUCGCAGUCUGUUUGUCAAGGGACGAGCAAUAAUCCCAUAAUCUUUGACGAACUUGCGGUAGUAACCGGUUAAGCCCAAGAAUCCACGAAGCUCUGUGAUGUUUGUCGGAGGCGACCAGUCGAGCAUGGCUUGAACCUUCGAUUGAUCCACCUUGACUCCUUGGCGAGAUAUAAUAUGCCCCAAGUAUUCCAAUUCUUCUCUGCCAAAGUCACAUUUUUUGAAUUUCACAGCAAGCUUGUGUUUACGCAAGAGUCGAAAUACCUCAUGUACAUGCCGUAAAUGGGACUCCCAAUCUGAGCUGUAGAUUAGAAUGUCGUCGAAGAAGACGAGAACUGAUUUGCGCAUCAAUGGCCGAAAGAUAGAGUUCAUGAGCGCCUGGAAAGUAGAUGGUGCAUUGCACAAGCCGAACGGCAUGACCAGAUACUCAUAGUGUCCGUUGUGUGUCCGAAAGGCUGUCUUAGAGAUGUCGUUGGGGUUCAUGCGAACCUGAUGAUACCCAGCAGUAAGAUCGAGCUUGGUGAAGUACGCAGCGCCGUGUAGCUCGUCCAACAUAUCGUCUACGGUCGGGAUUGGGAAACGAUCCUUGAUGGUUGCAGCGUUAAGAGCACGGUAGUCAGUACAAAAGCGCCAAGUUCCGUCCUUUUUCUUGACCAGAAGAACCGGCGACGAGAAUGGACUGGAGCUAGUGCGGACGAUUCCCGAUUUCAGCAUGUCUUCCACUUGUCUCUCGAUCUCUUCUUUCUGGAAGUAUGCAUAUCGGUACGGCCGGACAUUCACAGGAUCGGUUCCUUCCUUAAGAGUGAUUGUGUGCUCAAUCUCACGGUGUGGUGGUAGACCAGUUGGGGCCUGAAACAAAUCGUCGAAGUCAUGAAUCAAUGCUUUCAUGUCGUCGGCUACUUGAGAAAUCUGUGUCUCGGUGUCGGAGAGACAGAGAGCAUACAGAAGGUGGCCUUGACGGGCUUCCUUAAUGAUUUCUUGUGGCCCAAUUGCGUGAAUGGUUGCAGCUUGGAUCCCUUGGAGAAGAUGGGCUUGGCCUUCCCACGUUAUCUGUAUAGAUUGGGCCUUCCAAUCGCAAAUAGUUGGGCCUAGGGUUUCCAACCACUUAACUCCCAAAACAAUGUCGAGGCCUGCUAAGGGAAGGACAUGUAGGGUUAUCGUGAAAGACGCCGUCCCAAUCCUCAUAGCUACUGCUUCAUAUCGCUGGUGACACUUCAGCGGAGUUCCGUUGGCUACCCGGACCGUGAAAGGCGUCGUAUGCGUCGCUGAUAAGUGUAAUCGCUGUGCUGCCUUGUCGCUGAUGAAGUUAUGUGUGGAGCCACUGUCCACAAGAGCUAGCAAAUGUUGCUGUUCGAUCUUAGUGUGGAGGCGAAGAGUUGAUGGUGUAUCCCAUCCUGUCAAAGCGUGUAAUGAGAUCUCAGGUUGCUGCUCUUCCUCGUUUUGAUCCUCAUCGCUGCUAUCACCAUCUUGUGUACUCUCCAUGAUGAACAACUGGGGUUGCUUACACUUGUGACCCGGAGCGAAUUUGUCAUCGCAGCUAAAGCACAAUCCCAAACUUCGCUUCCUCUUCAUCUCCUCCCACGUCAAUUUCCGCGGCUCUGUUGGUGAUUUCUCACUUCUGCGCUCCUGAUUAGUUGGAGCCGAUGAACUUGAUGGAUAUUGUCGGGGAUUAUUCCAACGUUUCUCCUUCUGUAGUUGAUCGUCCCGUAAUCGUGCGAGAUUGACGAUCUCUGUCAAGGUUUUGGGCUUGAAUAUGCGUAUAGCAUUGGAGAUGUUGGUGUGGAGACCUCCCAUGAAUGCACCAACCAGAGCUUUCUCCGUCCAGCCUUCCACCUUGUUCUGGAGUCGUUCAAACUCUCUCUGGUACUCCAAUAGUGAUCCUUUUUGUCGUAUAUGCGAAAGCGCUUCGUCGAAGUUUUCGCCGUCCAUUGGACCAAACCGGGUCCACAACUCUGUCUCAAACGUCGCCCAUGGGACCUGGGAUGGAUCGGUUCCCCGUGCUUUGGAAAUCGCCUGCCACCACUCAUUGGCCUCGUCGGUGAGAUGAUAUGAGGCAAAGCUCACGCGUUUCUCCAGCGACAUCUCAUGGUACGCAAAGUAUUGUUUCGCCUUGCUUAUCCAUUCGGUGGGAUCUCCUCCACUGAACUUAGGGAAUUCCAGCUUCACACGGUGCGGAUUAUAUCGAACCGGAGCGAAGGGAUUCACCGUUUCCUCCUGAGGAGUGGUUUGUGGUCGUAUGUCAGGCUCUCUGCUCUGACGUGUUGCACUGGAGUCACCUGCACGACUAUUGGUGACCAUCUCCCGCAUUCGUCCUAGAGUUUCCUCUAGAGUUCGUUGGAAUGAGCUCUCAAUUCCUCGGAGUCUGUCAUCGAUCCCGACGGUAAGCUUCUGGAACUCAUCCUGCAUCAUUCCCAGUCCUGCUUCCAGGUCACUGAGUCUCUCCUUGUUGGUCAUGGUCGUAUCUCUUAGAUUUUUUUUUUUUUUUGUUUUUUUUUUUUUUUUUUUUUUUUUUUUUUUUUUGUUUUUGGUGAUUGUAGAUGGAAUGGUGGUGGAAAAAAAAAUGAAAUGGUGAUGAAAAGAAAAUAUGUUCUUGAUGGACGUUGAUUCACGUGAAUGAAUGUCGUCGCAAGAACAAACGGGCUUUGAUACCAAAUUGCUAAGGUCCCUCUUCAAAGCUUAAAGAGAUUGUAAUAACACAAGUACUCAAGAUAUUUGUUGGUAGAUAAGUCUACCUUUUUCUGGGUUUUUCAUUAGCUUAAAUAAGAAAACAAAUGGAGUCAUGACUCCUUACAAUACGUGAAUGAGGGAAAGUGGAAGUACUCAACUUCCUACAAAACAGGAAUGCAACAAAGUGGAGAACUAUCUCCUCAAGACUAGGUCUUUUAUUGAAUAAGAAAUAACAAAAUGAAAUACUCCUUCCUUAGUCCACGUAUCUUCUUGUUGGUACCUUUGCUCUAGUUGACUUACGUAGGACCAUCUUGUCAACUCUGUUCUCAACUCCACCGUGUGCUAUCCUAUCAUA
rnacentral:lncRNA from 1 species